rnacentral:tRNA from 1 species
GCGGACAUGGCGGAAUUGGCAGACGCACUGGAUUUAGGUUCCAGCGGUUUCACCGUGGGGGUUCAAGUCCCCCUGUCCGCACCA